rnacentral:rRNA from 1 species
GAGGUUGGUGCUUGCACCGACCGAAUCGAGUGGCGACGGGUGAGUAACGCGUGGGUAACCUGCCUCAGUACAGGGGGAUAACAACUGGAAACGGUUGAUAAUACCGCAUAAGCGCACGGUAUCGCAUGAUACAGUGUGAAAAACUCCGGUGGUAUGAGAUGGACCCGCGUCUGAUUAGCUAGUUGCGGGUAAGGCCCACCAAGGCGACGAUCAGUAGCCGGCCUGAGAGGGUGAACGGCCACAUUGGGAACUGAGACACGGCCCAAACUCCUACGGGAGGCAGCAGUGGGGAAUAUUGCACAAUGGGGGAAACCCUGAUGCCAGCGACGCCGCGUGAGCGAAGAAGUAUUUCGGUAUGUAAAGCUCUAUCAGCAGGGAAGAAAAUGACGGUACCUGACUAAGAAGCCCCGGCUAACUACGUGCCAGCCGCCGC